CCCACAAACAUAUGUAAACAAUCAAAUUAUGAAAUCCUGCUAUGAAAAAGUGAACAAUUGUAAUCCUAAAAUGUUUAGAAUAAUUAAUAUUGACAAUGUUUGAAUUGUUUCAAAGAUUUGGUUGGAGUUGGACUCAUUUGAACAUUGAUUGGUUUGAUUUCUCUACAUUACAGGUAGGUCAAGAACUUCCAGGCAGCUCUUCCAAAAGGGCUUGAACUACAAAUAUCUGCAAUGUCCAGAGCACGCCUUAGAUGGCACAUCAAUAGGUCUGAUUUCGGUGGUUCUGGUUUGUUCAGACUAAAAUCAUUCUAUUCUUUCGCCAGUUCCUCUUCAAAGAGUUACAAAGCGAAGCUCUGCUCGGGCGCUAAAAAGGGAACUAAUUCUUCCUCUCCUUUCAAUCGAGUGAUUUGAAAUUCCUCUACAACAUCAAAUUCUGCGGCAUCGGUGUAGUUCAAAGACAUCCCACUGCUGAUCAUGCUUUUUCACUUCCAAUAUAUUUUGCCAAUGAUUCAGAACGUUCACAGUUUCAAACGUUGAUUUAGGUCAAACUUCAAGUAAUAAGGCCUCUAUUUAGUUUUUUGAUGCAUUGCAGCUCCUGUUCCUCUGCUUUAAGUCAGACAAUGAGAGGGCCAUCUUUUUUCAUCUCCAAUGUACUGCUUUUGGGCUUUCCUUCAUUGUGAUGUUGCUGGUGUGAAAUGUAACAACGCUUAUCUCUGUCACUCAUCAUUUGAAUUGGAGCGUCGGAAUUUCAGGGGGGAUAAGGGAACUUUUGUGAGGCAUUAUUGCAGCUUGAGUUCCCUGUGUUGAGGUCAGAGAAGGAUAGAGCCUUUUGUUCUAUCUUUAUUCUUUUGCUUUAGCUUUCCUUCAUUGUGAGUUGAUGCUUUGAAAAUAGAUACUAAUGCUUCCUUCGCUAAUUUUAGGUUGAUUUGAACGGUAGACUAAAAUGUUAAGAAUAAUUAAAAUUGCCGAUGUUUGAAUUGUUUCAUGGAUUUGGUUGGACUCAUUUGAACAUUGAUUGGUUUGAUAUCUCUACGUUACAGGUAGGCCAGGAACUUCCAGGCAGCCUUUCUUUGGGUAUAAGGUAAAAUGCAUAAACCAAACAGAACACUAAGUCUAAUUAAUGAAAAUGUAACCACGCUUAUAUCUCCAUCACUCAUCAUUUGAAUUUGAGCGUUGGAAAAGGAUCAUUAUUCUCCAUUUUUUAGCCGGUUGUUGCGUUAUAUAGCAUUUAUUCAUUACUUUAGUUUGAAUUAUAAGGCUAUAUAUGGAUGUAUAUGUAACAAAUUUCAGUGGUAUAUUUAUAACUCUUAAGUAGACAAAAGGUACAAAAAUAUUGAAUUUAUAAGUGUUGUGAAGGCAAUUUCCUUGAUAUAUACUACCAUAAAGUUUCAUGAUUAUGGAAACGUUUUCUUAUUUAUCUUUCAACUUCCUUUUCUUUGCUGAACUAUCAAAAAUUUGUUGUUUAAAAUAUCAUUUCCCUGCAGUUUCUUUUUUACUUUGAAUGUGUUGUGCUCUAUAUUUACAGGGUAUUUUGAGUUCUGAAAAGGAUUUGGCCAAACUUCGACGAAAUCUCCAGGAUAAGGGCUCUUUAUGAGGCAUUAUUGCGGCUCCAGUUCGCUGUGUUGAGGUCAGAGAAGGGGAGAGCCUUUUGUUUCUAUCUUCUCUUUUGCUUUAGUUUUCCUUCAUUGUGAGUUGAUGCUUUGAAAAUGGAUACAGAACUUAAUGCUUCCUUCACUCAUUUGAGGUUCAUUUGAACGGUGGAGGUUCUUUCCUAUCUGUUGUCAGUAUUGCGUACUAACAUUACAAUAUAAUUAAUAGUUAAGAGUGGCAUGAAGGUCAUUUAGAGUCGACCUUAGUUUACUACCAUAUAACGCCAUGAAUUUAAAAUCUCCAGAAUAAGGCCUAUUUUCUAAGUGUUUGUAAAUCAUUAUGGCUCAUGUUCCCU